rnacentral:rRNA from 1 species
UACGUAGGGAGCAAGCGUUGUUCGGAUUUACUGGGCGUAAAGGGCGCGUAGGCGGCAAUUCAAGUCAUCUGUGAAAUCUCCGGGCUUAACUCGGAACGGUCAGAUGAUACUGUCUUGCUAGAGUGCAGAAGGGGCAAUCGGAAUUCUUGGUGUAGCGGUGAAAUGCGUAGAUAUCAAGAGGAACACCUGAGGUGAAGACGGGUUGCUGGGCUGACACUGACGCUGAGGCGCGAAAGCCAGGGGAGCGAACGGG